rnacentral:RNase_P_RNA from 1 species
CGAGGCUGUUGGGCGAUCGCAUGCAGUGCAUGAGGAAAGUCCGAGCUCCAUAGGGCAGGGUGCCGGGCAAUACCCGGCGGAGGCGACUCCAGGGAAAGUGCAACAGAAAGAAACCGCCCGCCUAGGCGGGUAAGGAUGGAAAGGCGAGGCAAGAGCUCACCCGCGGCCUGGCGACUGGCCCGCGAUGUAAACCCCACCCGGUGCAAGAUUGGAAUGGGAGCGCA